rnacentral:rRNA from 1 species
AGAAUCAACGCUGGCGGCGUGCCUAACACAUGCAAGUCGAACGAGAAAGUGGGAGCAAUCCCACGAGUAAAGUGGCGCACGGGUGAGUAACACGUGACUAACCUACCCUUGAGUGGGGGAUAACCUAGGGAAACCUGGGCUAAUACCGCAUAAUACCUACGGGUCAAAGGAGCAAUUCGCUUUAGGAGGGGGUCGCGGCAGAUUAGUUAGUUGGCGGGGUAAUGGCCCACCAAGACAGUGAUCUGUAUCCGGCCUGAGAGGGCGCACGGACACACUGGAACUGAAACACGGUCCAGACUCCUACGGGAGGCAGCAGUGGGAAUUUGCGCAAUGGGGGAAACCCUGACGCAGCAACGCCGCGUGGAGGAUGAAGCCCCUUGGGGCGUAAACUCCUUUCGAUCGGGAAGAUAAUGACGGUACCGGAGAAGAAGCCCCGGCUAACUUCGUGCCAGCAGCCGC